rnacentral:tRNA from 1 species
GGGGAGGUUGCGGAGCGGUCAAACGCAGCAGACUGUAAAUCUGCCGCCCCAGUGGCUUCGGAGGUUCGAAUCCUCCCCUCCCCACCA